ACGUCGUUUUGAGGCCCUGAACCCACACAUCAAACGGCGUCGUUUGCUUCUUCACAAAAACCCCUAAAAUUUCUUUUUUGCUUCAUUUUCAGCCAACUUUAAGAAAGUUUCAGAAACUUUCUUCUCUCUACCAGGGUUUCAAACCCCUUUUAGUGCCACCGUCGGUCCUGCACUCCUCCACUGUUGGCGGCGGUCAUGGCAGCAACAAACGGGCUUUUCAGCCCUGGAUUAAGUUGCGUUUGAAGGCCAAACCUUCGAGGCCUAGGAAAACCAGAUCGGGAGGCUUCCCUCUCUCUUCGGAGUUCGAACUCAACGGCGGAGGGAGGAGUUCCGGCGACGCGAUUCGGGUAAGCUCAUUCCCCUCCUAUUUUAUUUAUUGCAAGCUUUCUUUUUUUUUAUUUAGAAAGUUCUUGUAAAGUAAAUAGAGUAAAAACAAAUAGAAAAGUCGAAAAAUCUAAACAAAAAAUAAGAGCAAAUUUAAACUUCUUUUCUUUCCUUUGAUUUUUGCUCCAAAUCGUUUUGAUACAAUGGUUUUUUUUUAUUUUCCCGAAAAAUCCCCCUUUCAAAAUGCAAAACCGUUCUCUUACAUUCGGUUUCAUUUUCUGCUUUAUAGCCAAUUACAAGAGAAAUAUUUCGUGAUCUCUGCUAUUGCUUGCUGCUUAUGCUCUGUUUUCAUCUCUUUUGCGUGCUUUCCUUUCGUUUUGCAAGUAAUGGGCGAUGGGACGGGGCUGGGGCGUCGUCAGAGGCGUCAGAGGGCAGGUGGAGGAGAGGCGGUGCAAGUGGAGGCACCUAGGGUUUGCUGCUUCCUUGUUUUUUUUUCUGCUGGUGGUUUGGGCUAGGGUAAGAUGGGUAUUAAUGUGGGCCUUGGUAUUUGGGCUGUGAGGUUAUAUUGGGCCAGCAAAUUGGGCUUGUACAACAUGCAAUUGGCAAUUCAGAAAAGAGAUUAAACAAUGGACAACUUGUUCUUUCAAAGUCUUUAUUAGCUUUUCUUGACUGUAAUCUUAUUUCUUACAAAAGUAUCAGAAAAAUGAUACAUGGUGUUAACUUUUUCCAUGUUGUCCAAUUAAUAUUUGACACGUGGUGACGAUGUUGUCAUAAUGAUAUUAUCAUCCAAAAAUUAUAAAAAAAUCUAAAAAAUUAAAGAUAUACAAUCAA
rnacentral:lncRNA from 1 species